rnacentral:rRNA from 1 species
AUACGUAGGGUGCGAGCGUUGUCCGGAAUGAUUGGGCGUUAAGGGCGCGUAGGCGGCCCGGUAAGUCUGGAGUGAAAGUCCUGUUUUUAAGAUGGGAAUUGCUUUGGAUACUGUCGGGCUUGAGUGCAGGAGAGGUAAGUGGAAUUCCCAGUGUAGCGGUGAAAUGCGUCGAGAUUGGGAGGAACACCAGUGGCGAAGGCGGCUUACUGGACUUUAACUGACGCUCAGGCGCGCAAGCGUGGUGAGUAAACGGGAUUAGAUUCCCUGGUAGUCCACACUGUAAACGAAGAAUGCUAGGUGUAGGGGGUAUCGACCCCUUCUGUGCCUCAGUCAACACAAUAAGCAUUCCGCCUGGGGAGUACGGCCGCAAGGUUGAAACUCAAAUGAAUUGACUGGG